UACAGAGGCCCCAAGCGUUACUGAGAAUCACUGGGUUUAAAGGGUGCGUAGGUGGCGCGUUAAGUCCGUUGUGAAAUCCCUUGGCUCAACCAGGAAUGGCUUCGGAUACUGGCGUGCUUGAGGUUGGUAUGGGUCACUGGAACUGACGGUGGAGCGGUGAAAUGCGUAGAUAUCGUCAGGAACGCCAAUGGUGAAGACGAGGUGACUGGCCAAUUCUGACACUGAGGCACGAAAGCGUGGGGAG
rnacentral:rRNA from 1 species